CCUCGGCGCCCGCCGCGCCGCGUGCCCUGCUCGGCUGCCCGCGCUGCCAGCGGCUGCUCCACCGGCCCGUGACCCUGCCGAGCGGGCUCACGGUGUGCAGGCGGCGCUUGGAGCUGGGGCCGGCGCGUCCGCAGGCGCGGCGCGCCCACGUGGUGCUGAGCCGCCUGCUGGAGAAGUGCUUCCCGGGCGAGGGCCGCGCGCGCAGGCUGGCCGGCCGGGCGCGGUGUCUGCAGCGCCAGCAGCAGCCCGAGGCCGCGCUGCCCAGGUGUCACCAGGCCCUGGAUCUGGGAUCUCACACAGCCUUCCUGAGCAGCCCUGUGAGUCCAAGACUACCUACCUGUCACGCCAUCUCAGCUGUUGAGGAGUGGGAUAACGAAGUGUUUUUACAUCUCCUACAGGAAAAUAAGUGAAGACAAAAUCAAGAUGCUUUAUUCCAAAGAGAUAAGUAAAGCUGAAGGCUUUUUAUUGUUAUCAGAAUGGUACUACAUGAAGUACUAAGGGACUUCUUCAGAUUAAAGGGAAUGGUCCAGAUGAAAACAUGGACCUAAAGGAAAGAUGAAGACUAUUAGAAAGGGUAAAUAUAUAUGAAUAAAUAGAAGAAAAUAUUGAUCAUUUCAAUUGACAGUAACAAUAUUUUGUGGUAUUUGUAACAUAUGUAAAAGUAAGCCAUGUAGCAAUAGCACAAAGCCAGGAUGAGUAAAUAAAGUUAAAUUGUUGUGUGGCCUGUGCAUGUGGUAAAAAUAAUUGAAAGUAUACUGAUAAAUAAAGCUUGCAUAUUGUAAUUUCUCGGUAGCCACUGAAAGGACAAUAAAAGAAGAUAAAAU